GUCCCUGUAAAGCAAUGGAUAGCGCGUUGGACUUCUAAUCCAAAAUGUGUGGGUUCGAAUUCCACCUGGGAUG